GCCAUCUGGCUUAGUGGUUAGAGCAACCGCCUUGGAUGUUGGAGAUCGUGGGUUCGAUUCCCAGUUGAGUCA